CCGGCGCACGGGUGAGUAACACGUAUCCAACCUGCCGUCUACUCUUGGCCAGCCUUCUGAAAGGAAGAUUAAUCCAGGAUGGCAUCAUGAGUUCACAUGUCCGCAUGAUUAAAGGUAUUUUCCGGUAGACGAUGGGGAUGCGUUCCAUUAGAUAGUAGGCGGGGUAACGGCCCACCUAGUCAACGACGGAUAGGGGUUCUGAGAGGAAGGUCCCCCACAUUGGAACUGAGACACGGUCCAA
rnacentral:rRNA from 1 species